UCCUACGGGAGGCAGCAGUGGGGAAUAUUGGACAAUGGGCGAAAGCCUGAUCCAGCCAUGCCGCGUGUGUGAAGAAGGUCUUCGGAUUGUAAAGCACUUUAAGUUGGGAGGAAGGGCAGUAAGUUAAUACCUUGCUGUUUGACGUACCGACAGA
rnacentral:rRNA from 2 species